GAACCAGGAGGGGGCGACCAGGGGUUUCUCCACAAACCCUAAUUCUCACAAAAUCCUUCAAAUUGAAGCUCAAAUCAAGCCCGAAUCGUCUGCAUGAUUACAAAUUCGUGAUCUCCAUUGAAAGGGGAGUCAUAAGAUUCUGAUGUUAAACGGGUCAAAACAGUGUCCGAAUUUGACUCUUGACGAGCUAGGUGAAGCUUGGAGGAGAAGAUCAAACGGGAUAAAGGCACGAAUAAGACUUGCUUGGAUGAAAGGUAAGUAAAACUUACACCCACUUGUAGUAUAUGUGUUUAUUUCAUAACGAUGAAUACAAUAAAGGAUUUGGUUUGAAUCAUGGGUUCCGACCCAAAACGAAAUGAGUCAGAACCAACAAAAAUGUUUUAAACCAUGAUUAAUGGUGAAAAAGGCAAAAUGGUAAAUUAGUCACGAAUUGGUUAAGAAUUAGUGAGUUUUUCUUAAAGUUACCUUAUAGCGUAACUAGUAAUGGAAAAUGGGUAAAAAAAUGGAAAUUUAGUCAAGUAUCGGCUAAAGUAAAAUCAGUUUCAAAGGACACCCAUAGCGUGAGCCGAAU
rnacentral:lncRNA from 1 species